rnacentral:misc_RNA from 1 species
UUGAAAUGCUUAUAGAGAGGUAUCAUUUCAAAUCCACCUAAAGUAAAUUCUCAAUCACAUUCACAAAUCUGAUACUUAUCCAUGAAUCUAAUUAAUUAAAUAAUUGGGUCAACUUUCAUUCAAACAAUUUCAAUUAAAAUCAUGUAUAAAUCCCUCCAUUUGUAAACUUCCAUCCAAACAUAAGAUUAAAGGAUUUGGACUAUAUAUCUUAGUAUAAACCACUUAAAUAUGCUUAAACAUAUAAGUUUGUUAGGUUGGUAGGAUCUUCAAUAAGAAUAAAAACUUGUUUGGGUUUGAAAUAACUACCAAAAAUAUGUAAUUUCAAACACACACCACAAUUUGGUCGAAAAAUAUUCAUUCCUCCUCUUUUGCCAGUCCAAAUAUUUAUUUAUACAAUUUAAACUAACACUCACAUCCAACUCCUUGGAUCAGAAAUCAAUCCCCCACCUAUAGUUGAAAGGG